rnacentral:rRNA from 1 species
ACGGCUCAGUAACACGUCGAUAAUCUACCAUUAGGUUUGUGAUAACCUUGGGAAACUGAGGCUAAUAACAGGCAGGGGAUAACUCCUGGAAUGGGUUUUCCCUGAAAGGCAACGCCUAAGGAUGAGUCGGCGGCCGAUUAGAUUGUUGGUGAGGUAACGGCUCACCAAGUCUUGGAUCGGUAGGGGCCUUGAAAGAGGGAGCCCCGAGAGGGACACUGAGAUACUGGUCCCAGCCCCACGGGGUGCAGCAGGCGCGAAACCUUUACACUGCACGAAAGUGUGAUAAGGGGAUCCCGAGUGCUUAUGCUUAGCAUAAGCUUUUGCUAAGAGUAAAUAUCUUGGCGAAUAAGUGGUGGGUAAGACUGGUGCCAGCAGCCGCGGUAACCCCAGCGCCGCAAGUAGGGACCAUUUAUUUGGCCUAAAGCGUCCGUAGCCGGUUUAGUAAAUCUUUUGUGAAAUCAUUGGGCUUAACUCAAUGAAUUGCAGGAGAGACUGCUAGACUUGGAACCGGGAGGGGUCAGAAGUAUUCUUGGGGGAGCGGUAAAAUGUUUUAAUCCCAAGAGGACUACCUGUGGCGAAGGCGUCUGACCAGAACGGGUUCGACGGUGAGGGACGAAGGCUAGGGGAGCAAACCGGAUUAGAUACCCGAGUAGUCCUAGCAGUAAACGCUGUGAACUAGGUGUUGCAUAUUCUUUAUGAAUAUGCAGUGUCGACGCGAAGGCAUUAAGUUCACCGCCUGGGAAGUACGGUCGCAAGACUGAAACUUAAAGGAAUUGGCGGGGGAGCGCUACAAGGGGUGCGGCGUGCGGUUUAAUUUAACUCCACACAGAGAAUCUCACCAGAGGCGACGGCAGGAUGAAGGUCAGUCUAAUGGGCUUACCAAACAAGCCGAGAGGUGGUGCAUGGCCGCCGUCAGCUCGUGCUGUAAGGUGUCCAGCUAAGUCUGGUAACGAGCGAGACCCCCACC